AUGAACGCUAGCUACAGGCUUAACACAUGCAAGUCGAGGGGAAACGAUAGAGAAAGCUUGCUUUUUCUAGGCGUCGACCGGCGCACGGGUGAGUAACGCGUAUCCAACCUGCCCAUCACUUAGGGAUAACCUUGCGAAAGUAAGACUAAUACCCAAUGAGGUCUCUAGAAGACAUCUGAAAGAGAUUAAAGAUUUAUCGGUGAUGGAUGGGGAUGCGUCUGAUUAGCUUGUUGGCGGGGUAACGGCCCACCAAGGCGACGAUCAGUAGGGGUUCUGAGAGGAAGGUCCCCCACAUUGGAACUGAGACACGGUCCAAACUCCUACGGGAGGCAGCAGUGAGGAAUAUUGGUCAAUGGGCGAGAGCCUGAACCAGCCAAGUAGCGUGCAGGAUGACGGCCCUAUGGGUUGUAAACUGCUUUUAUAAGGGAAUAAAGUGGGAGUCGUGACUCCUUUUGCAUGUACCUUAUGAAUAAGGACCGGCUAAUUCCGUGCCAGCAGCCGCGGUAAUACGGAAGGUCCGGGCGUUAUCCGGAUUUAUUGGGUUUAAAGGGAGCGUAGGCCGGAGAUUAAGCGUGUUGUGAAAUGUAGACGCUCAACGUCUGCACUGCAGCGCGAACUGGUUUCCUUGAGUACGCACAAAGUGGGCGGAAUUCGUGGUGUAGCGGUGAAAUGCUUAGAUAUCACGAAGAACUCCGAUUGCGAAGGCAGCUCACUGGAGCGCAACUGACGCUGAAGCUCGAAAGUGCGGGUAUCGAACAGGAUUAGAUACCCUGGUAGUCCGCACGGUAAACGAUGGAUGCCCGCUGUUGGUCUGAAUAGGUCAGCGGCCAAGCGAAAGCAUUAAGCAUCCCACCUGGGGAGUACGCCGGCAACGGUGAAACUCAAAGGAAUUGACG
rnacentral:rRNA from 1 species